rnacentral:rRNA from 1 species
UACAGAGGGGGCAAGCGUUGUUCGGAUUUACUGGGCGUAAAGGGCGCGUAGGCGGCCAGCACAAGUCAGUUGUGAAAUCUCCGAGCUUAACUCGGAACGGUCAACUGAUACUGUGCGGCUAGAGUGCGGAAGGGGCAACUGGAAUUCUUGGUGUAGCGGUGAAAUGCGUAGAUAUCAGGAGGAACACCAGUGGCGAAGGCGGCUCACUGGCCCGGUACUGACGCUGAGGCACGAAAGCGUGGGGAGCAAACAGG